ensembl:lncRNA
AGCCCUCGUACAAUCUGAGGCUGCCUGUUCCCUCCCCUGCCUCCUUUUCCUGACUUCCCUGGAGGGGCUCUUUGCAGUGUUUUCUCCUAUUGAUGAGGUCGCCUCCUGUACUCAGGCUUUGUCCACGCCAAGUGAGCCAAGUGCUGCUUGGUACCUCACUCCAUCCCAGAAUCCCCAGCCUAUAGGACCUGAAACCCAGAGCCAAAGGCUCAUAUGCCCAGAUCUGACCAAAAAAAGAGAGGGGUCCCCUGCUCUGAUGGUGCCAAGUGCUCCUCCCUGUGGGACCAGAAUGUUCUAAUAAAAUAAGAUUUCCAGUUUCUUAGGCCAACAUUCUUCUGAGUGAAGGUCGGAUUUUCCAUCCAACUGUUUCCGGGUUUCUCCUCAGUUCUGCAGCCUUAGUAUUCCACUCCCAGAAGGGACUGUCUUUAAAGUACCUGGUGCUCAGAGCCAGCACCUCAGUCGCUAUUCCAUCCCCACCACCCAGAUACCUGUUUACUCCAUAGUAACUCAGAGAGGAAAUGGGCAAAUCUCACCAGCUUCUGGAGGUUACUUCAGGUUCAUUGAAAUUCUCUUUCUGUGUGAUCUCUACUGUCAGGGCAAUGUUCUAGGUAAAAGUCCCAGUGCAUUGCUUGAUGUGCUUUCUACGUUGGCUGUGGAAAGGCACUCCUGAAGGCCAUUUUCAUUCUGUGAAAGGACCAGUGCUGGGCCCAGGCUCAUGGUACAUGACAGCUUAUCAGGCUUACUAGGAAGAGAACAUUCCAGAAUCCAGACAUGUCUGUAGCUCAGAGAUUAAAGCACUUGACAAGCAUGAGGGAAGCCCUGAGUUCCAUUCCCAGCGUUGGAGAAAAAGUCACAACCCAGAGAAAGGGUUUGUUUUGUUUUGUUUUUUUAGCAGAAAAUUUAUCUUGUUUUUAUUGAACAAGUUAAGGGCAUUUCUUUUGUUGAGAAGUGUAACAGAAAAAAAAAUAUACAGAAUAGGUAAUGUUCAAUCGUCAAAAAUAUGGUUUGGCCAAUACCAAAGAGGCUGACUGAGUUCUUGACCUCCUCUGGUAGUGGGUUAUUUGUUGAACCUCCUCCAGAUUCUUCCGCCUACUUCUGGUUGGGUUACCUGUUUCUUUCUGGAGUGAUUCUCUCCCCAAGUUGAAGCUUUCCUAGGUAACAUGCCAAGCCAUCCUGGCUGUGCCUCUGGUCACAGUGCUGUGACUGUGCUCCUCCUCCCCAUACUCUGAGCAGCUACCAUCUUCCUUGAAUACCUGAGAACUGGACUUCCCUAGGAGGUGGGGUAUGAUGCCGCUGUACUGAAUGGACUCUGUCUCCCUCAAUGUUGCCUUAACCUUUUCGUGGCGUGAGUAGUUAAGGAGCUCCUCCUACACAGCUUCAGACUGGACCUCCUCCUUGCUAUAAGGAGCUAAAACUGGAAUCCCCCAGCUGGCAUUUAAGGAGAAGCCUGCUGGGUCAGAGAAAUAAAUGAGCCUCCAAGACAGUAGCAGUUUUACCUAUCUUGGGUUGCCUCCAAAUAAUAGCCAUUUGUCUAUAAAGUAAUGUGUUGAAAGGAUGUGACCUACUUCAGUCAGGUGUUAGGUUUGGAAAUCAAAGUUGAAGUAACUGAGCUCUUCCAGUUCGCAUGUUUCAGCAAGAUUUUAAUCUCUCGAUGCUUUGUGUAGCCAGCUUUCCUAUAUUGAGUGAAAGAAUGAGUACACUGAAAGGGCCUCUGCCUCCUCCAUCCCCAACACCUUGUCCUUCCUCUUUCCAGGAACUGCCUCACCCACUGGGACACUCAAGGGGUCAGGAAUCCUGUUUCCAAAUUUUCCCAGAGUACCCCAAAGUCAUGAGUGCUUACUGUUGGGUGGCAUUUGACACAUUCUUAGGGGGGACAACAGAGCAUGCAUUUCCAUCCUAAAUAAGGACCCUCCCACCCCCCACCCUUGACCUUUAAUAAUGAUUGUAUUACAUUUUCCCAUAACCUUCUGCUGAUGUGGUUCAAUUUCUUUCUCUCAGUCAUGAAAUAUUUAUUUAUUUAUUUACUUAUUUAUUUACCUAUUUAUUUAUUUAUUACUUGUGAGUCACCAGCUGCCAAGUAUUUGCAUUAGGCUGGUGGAGACUUUGAGAGGACUGUGCUUUUCUGUUCCCCUCCCCCAGAAAAGAAGGCUGGUUGGUUGGUUUGGACCACCUCUCUUCCCACAUGCUGUUUCCCUCACAGUGGCUUACUUUGGGGGAGGGGAGGGCUUCUACCAGCUGAUUCCCAUGUUGUACACUAGAUGGCUAGACAUUUUUGUAUAUUAGUGUGUUUUGAGUUAUUGAUUUGUUUUAUAUGAAAUAAUUUAUUUUUCAGGUACCAUUUUUUUUUUCAUUUUAACUUUGUUUUUACAUGGGUUUGUUUUCAAUAAAGUCUGACAUUGCUGUCCAA